CCCUUCAUGGUGUAGUGGUCAGCACACUCGACGUGUAACCGAUGGUCCGUGGUUCGAUUCCUGGUGAAGGCG
rnacentral:tRNA from 1 species